GACUACCGGGGUAUCUAAUCCUGUUUGCUCCCCACGCUGUCGCGCCUCAGCGUCAGUACCGAGCCAGGUGGUCGCCUUCGCCACCGGUGUUCUUCCCAAUAUCUACGAAUUUCACCUCUACACUGGGAAUUCCACCACCCUCUCUCGGCCUCAAGCCUGGCAGUAUCAAGCGCAGUCCCCAGGUUAAGCCCAGGAAUUUCACGCCUGACUGGCCAAGCCGCCUACGCGCCCUUUACGCCCAGUAAUUCCGAGUAACGCUAGCCCCCUUCGUAUUACCGCGGCUGCUGGCACGAAGUUAGCCGGGGCUUCUUCUACAGGUACCGUCAUCAUCGUCCCUGUCGAAAGUGCUUUACGAUCCGAAGACCUUCUUCACACACGCGGCAUUGCUGGAUCAGGCUUUCGCCCAUUGUCCAAUAUUCCCCACUGCAGCCCCCCGUAGG
rnacentral:rRNA from 1 species